UCAUCAAGCAAUACUCCUGCAAGAUCCCUCUUUUAUUCCUCUCUUUUUCUACAUUGUAUCAGAGCUUGGCUUCUGAUUUUUUUCCUUCUCUCUUUUCACUCCUCUCAGAUAAGUCCGCCAUUGCAGUUAGCGGACUGUUAAGGUAUAUAAUCUCACCGCCCAAACCACUAGAAAUCCUUGCCGCAUAUCAGCCUCCAGGUGAAAUCCCAUCGCUGAAGAAUCUUCUAUGCACCAUCUGAACCCUGGUCCACACGCUGACACAUGAGGGAGUGUGGAUCACUCUUUCCUGGUUAAACUUUCACCAGUCAGUCACCUUGGACAAGCAACUCCAUUCUCCUGCAAGUCCUCACCUGGUUAAAGAUCAGAGGUCUAUCACCUCAACUGGAGCCAACUCUGAUCAAUACCUAGCAACAAAACAGCAGUCUUCCUCAUUUCUUGCCUCUGCUGCCCAGACAGGUAAUCUCUUUGCCUGUGUAGCCAAAUCGUGGUCCAUCAGAUCAUGAAUCCUUUAAUUCAGGCACUUACGAUCAUAUCUCUAGUAGUAGAAAUUUCUUCUCUAUCCAUGCUUCUCCUGCAACUUUCUCAAAUGUCAUUUUAGCUAACAGUUCAAAAACUAUUAUUAGAAGUGUACGGAUGGCUCAUCAUCUUCCAUCAAUUAUUUUUAUUCUUGGUCAUACCUGCCCUUGAACGUUCAUAUAAUUUGAUCUCUGUUAGCAAAUUAACCAAAUAUCUUACUUAUUUUUAACCUUUUUAGCAGCUCCUUUGGUUCUUCUACAAGAGCAGGUAUAGGAAGAUGAUGCCUAGAACACGAGUCAAAAGGUCUGUAUUCAAGAACUACCAUUGCUUUUCCACCUCCACAAUCAAAUGAGAGAGUAAAAUUUGUGGAGUAAUAGAAGAAGANNNNNNNNNNNNNNNNNNGGGGAGGAAGAGGAACAGAAGAAGAAAGCAGAAAGUAGAAGAGAGAGAACAGAAAGAUUACAGAGGGAAAACGUUUAAAUUUUGAUAUUUCUUGGUUUGAUCCUUUCAAGCUCACAAGCUGUUAUUUAUACACUGUUUAGUAACAUAAGAAACUGUUCUUGCCACUUAACCACCUCUUGACUUCCCUAACUAAUUCUCAGCUACAACUUAUUCUACUCUCUUCCCCAUGAAACUACAAUCCCCUAUUCCUCUAAUUAGUCAUAACAUUUCCCAUUCCUUGAAAUCAUUCUUGUCCUCGAGACUCAAGAAUAAGGAAAGCUACAAUACAAUGCUGAAGUUUUUACUUCCUGUGUGUCGAUAAUUCCAACAUUGAGGGAGUGAAGGCUUCUGUUGCAGCAACUUUAAGAGUCAUUUUGCAAACAAAUAGUUGCAAUAAGGCCUGAGUAUCUUCCUCGGCCUUCUCUGCAUUUUCUUCAGGCAUGCCGCUGGUAUGACAAGUGGCAAGGCAUUUUUUUUCAGGCAUGCCACUGGUAUGACUAGUGGCAAGCCUUGCCGCUAGUACAAUCAGCAGCAUGUAGCAGAAUCUGCUUACCUGGCAAGAUGCACCCCACUUUGACAAAAAAAAUUUCCCCACCUCUCUUUGGAAAAUAUUUUUUAGGUCCCC
rnacentral:lncRNA from 1 species